rfam:Picea glauca, whole genome shotgun sequence.
CAUGCCUACAACAUACUAGCGUUAAUGCAUCAGAUCCCAUUAUAAAUCCACAGUUAAGUGCGCUCAAGAUAGAGUAGUACUGGGAUGGGUGACCACUCGGGAAGUCCUAGUAGUUAACAUGC